UACGUAGGGGGCAAGCGUUGUCCGGAUUUAUUGGGCGUAAAGAGCGUGUAGGCGGCCUGGUAGGUCAGCUGUGAAAACUCGAGGCUCAACCUCGAGACGCCGGUUGAAACCAUCAGGCUAGAGUCCGGAAGAGGAGAGUGGAAUUCCCGGUGUAGCGGUGAAAUGCGCAGAUAUCGGGAAGAACACCCGUGGCUAAGGCGGCUCUCUAGUACGGUACUGACGCUGAGACGCGAAAGCGUGGGGGAGCGAACAGG
rnacentral:rRNA from 1 species